rnacentral:sRNA from 1 species
CUUCGUCGAUCUGCGAGGGGGAGAGCAGGUGCACGUGGGAGUCGAUGCCGCCCGCGGUGAGGAUGCGUCCCUCACCGGAGACGACGUCGGUGGAGGGUCCGAUCACGAGCCCGGGGUGGACGCCGUCGGCGAUGUCCGGGUUGCCGGAGCGGCCGAGUGCGACGAUCCGGCCGUCCCGGAUGCCCACGUCGGCUCGGACGACGCCCCACCAGUCGAGGACGACGGCGUUGGUGAUGACCGUGUCGAGGGCACCCUCGCGCCGGGUCCGAGUGGACUGCGCCAUCGACUCG